rnacentral:lncRNA from 1 species
GCAAUGGAUCCGUCAGGUCAUAAAUCCCCCGCUGUCACGACGUAGUGACCUUAAAUUGGAUUAGUGCGAGAGAACAUACAGGCUCUGAUUAAGGACUUUAUUCAGGUAUGUCGGUUCAUAAAGACGCCUGAUGUCGGGACGGUGAAGGCACGUCUACAAGAUAAUGUGGUGUAAACAGAUGGUAAACGUAAUUUCCGGACACAGAUGCGACUUGCAAGGGUCAAAAUCUUUAUAUUAUGAUCUCUAUGUGCAUGCGAAUAUCUUCAGCCGACUUGUAAAAUGUCCAAACAGCUCCAACUGCUACCUAAGAUGAUAACACGGACGAUAAAGGAAUGAAGGGUAUGUCUGCUUCACUACGAUUGACAAAACUUGCACAUCUACUUUCAAGCUGGUGAAAGCACGACUUCAAGAUGUAAACUAAAAAAGAAGAUGGUAAUUUCCGGCCACAAGUGUCAAAAUCUUAAAAUUAGGGUCGAAGAGAAAUAUACGUCUCCUUGCGGUAAACAGAAUACAGCACGGCAUUUUGCUUCAUAUACGUGUUAUUCAAAAGACAACAACAGUUUAAAGCCAAAGGAACCCAAUCUAACAAAUUGUGUCAGUCUUUGGACAUUGGAAAUUCUCCCCUUUGCUGAUGAAGUACCAUCUAUCAUUUAAUGGAUAUUUAACUAGAACAGAACGGAACAGAACAGAACAGAACAGAACGGACCAGAACAGAACUCUCAGUCAGCAUUUACAUCUCUGUAAACGGCAUCGAUAUUGCCAUUUAAUUUAUCAUAUAUUUAUCGAUUUAUAACUGGUAUUCUGCGGACUCCGUAAUUGAUACAUUGCCAUUUUCUUGACAAAAUAUUGAUAAAUCAGUUGAUAGACCGAUACCGAAGUUGGAUUUUGCUGUUAUCCGAAUUCAGAAAGCAGCAUAAUACAAUAAGUACAAUGAUUAUCAAGAUUUAUAAAAAAUGUUUCACCUAGAGUUAUUUUGACAUAGGAAAUUCUACACGUCUGACAAACCGGGAGUAAAGGCAAGACGUCAUUUAACCGGAAAUAUAACACAAAACCUGGACUCGGCAUAUGGAUUCUCCUUUUCGUUUGCCUAAUUUUCUUAAAAUAUCUAUGGGUUUGAAAACUUAAGAUUUUCUCAAUUCGAGCAAACAACAACAACAACUACAAAACCACCAUAAUGUAAAUUCUGUAUGUUUUGUGCAAAUUUGUCAAGAGGA